rnacentral:rRNA from 1 species
UACAGAGGUCCCAAGCGUUGUUCGGAUUCAUUGGGCGUAAAGGGUGCGUAGGUGGCGCCGUAAGUCGGGUGUGAAAUUUCGGAGCUCAACUCCGAAACUGCAUUUGAUACUGGCGUGCUUGAGGACUGGAGAGGAGACUGGAAUUCACGGUGUAGCAGUGAAAUGCGUAGAUAUCGUGAGGAAGACCAGUGGCGAAGGCGGGUCUCUGGACAGUUCCUGACACUGAGGCACGAAGGCCAGGGGAGCAAACGGG